GGAGAGAGGAUAAAGUGGUUUAAGGUGUAGCAUUAGAAAUGCUAUGUAGGCUUCUGUUUAUUGAGGGUUCAAAUCUCUCUCUUUCUG
rnacentral:tRNA from 1 species